GGUUUCUGUAGUUGAUUUACAACGAUGAUUUUUCAUGUCAUAGGUCAUGGCAGUUCCAUGCAGAAAUA
rnacentral:tRNA from 1 species